rnacentral:rRNA from 1 species
UACGUAGGGUGCAAGCGUUGCUCGGAAUUAUUGGGCGUAAAGCGCGCGUAGGCGGUUACUCAAGUCGGAUGUGAAAGCCCUCGGCUUAACUGAGGAAGUGCACCCGAAACUGAGUAGCUAGAGUACUAAAGAGGGUCGCGGAAUUCCCGGUGUAGAGGUGAAAUUCGUAGAUAUCGGGAGGAACACCGGUGGCGAAGGCGGCGACCUGGGUAGAUACUGACGCUGAGGCGCGAAAGCGUGGGGAGCAAACAGG